rnacentral:lncRNA from 1 species
UUAACUUAAUAAAAUCAUCCACUACAUAAUCAUUCAUUAUCUUUAUAAUUAACCAUCUAAAGCUACCACAGUUCUUCAAUCAAAGUAUAUAUCUACAUAUAUAGAGAGAGAGUACACUUCAAAAUUUCGUCCCUUGUCUUCCGUAAACAUAGCACGGAAAUUUGAUACCCAGUAUUGUAAGGCAAGUCGUAGAAGCAGUCUUCCUGCACAUUUAAAAAUAAUAGCAAGUUAGAAAAAUGAAGCAAAUAGGUCACCAGAGGCACUUAAUGCCAAAAUCAAUACACAAAGACAAUAGAAUUGCUACGUGGUACAAUGUCAAGGCUUAGCUCCUAUUUCA